rfam:Brassica oleracea var. oleracea cultivar TO1000 chromosome C9, whole genome shotgun sequence
GGAAAUUAAAAAACUGUUUUUUAAUUUUUAACUAAAAAAACUAAGAACCGGUUCUUAAAUAAAGACUUUAAGAACCGGAACCGGUUCUUAGUUUUUUUAGUUAAAAGUUAAGAAACAGUUUUUUAGCUUCC